UUCUUAUCUAGAGAAGCUGAGGGAUCUGGCCCUUCGAAGCUUCAGCAACCGACCCAUUCGUGGUAAAGGUGCUACUUCCAGCAAGCGACAAAUCGCUUGAACGAUAAGAA
rnacentral:ncRNA from 2 species